rnacentral:rRNA from 1 species
AGAGUUUGAUCCUGGCUCAGAGCGAACGCUGGCGGCGUGCCUAACACAUGCAAGUCGAACGUGAAAUGGAGCAAUCCAGAGUAAAGUGGCGUACGGGUGAGUAACACGUAGGUAAUCUACCCUAGAAUCUGGAAUAACCUGCCGAAAGGCGGGCUAAUACUGGAUAGAGCGACGGAAUCCGUAAUCGGAUUUUUCGGGAA